GUGACCUCAAAUCAGGUAGGACUACCCGCUGAACUUAAGCAUAUCAAUAAGCGGAGGAAAAGAAACUAACAAGGAUUCCCCUAGUAACUGCGAGUGAAGCGGGACAAGCUCAAAUUUAAAAUCUGUCAGCCUUUGGCUGUCCGAGUUGUAAUCUAGAGAAGUGUAAUCCGCGCUGGACCGUGUGCAAGUCUCC
rnacentral:rRNA from 1 species